rnacentral:lncRNA from 1 species
AAAAUCAGAAAACUAAAACUCACCGACAACAGAGUUCUUCGGUGCGGCAGCUCUGCUGGCUCACCUUUGUAGUUGGAUGUUUUACUUCGAUCAACCUAUAGAGAAGGAAACGGUGAUUAUAAUGGUGGAAGAAUUACACAAAAUGAGAAUUGGGAAGGGCCUCACCGGAGGCGAUUUUUGUAAUUUCUCGCAGUAGCAUCGUAGGGCUUUGCCCGCAUCAUUUGAUUAAUUCACCGAUCUUUUUACUCCAAUUUGGCCAUAGGGUAUUUAAAAUCGAAUUUCGAGGAAAGAAAU